rnacentral:misc_RNA from 1 species
GAUGAAGAACGCAGCGAAAUGCGAUACGUAAUGUGAAUUGCAGAAUUCAGUGAAUCAUCGAAUCUUUGAACGCAUAUUGCGCUCUCUGGUAUUCCGGAGAGCAUGCUUGUUUGAGUAUCAGUAAACACCUCAACUUCCAUAUCUUUUUUGAAAUGGGAGUUGGACUUGGGUGAUCCCAACGCUUUUCCUCACCGAAAAGUGGCGGGUUACUUGAAAUGCAGGUGCAGCUGGACUUUUCUCUGAGCUAUAAGCAUAUCUAUUUAGUCUGCCUAAAAACAGAUUAUUACCUUUGCUGCAGCUAACAUAAAGGAGAUUAGUUCUUGUGCUGACUGAUGCAGGAUUCACAAAGACAGGCUUCGGCCGACUUUGUAAACUCGAUCUCAAAUCAAGUAAGACUACCCGCUGAACUUAAGCAUAUCAAUAAGCGUAGGA